GACGAACGCUGGCGGCGUGCUUAACACAUGCAAGUCGAACGGUAAGGCCCUUCGGGGUACACGAGUGGCGAACGGGUGAGUAACACGUGGGUGAUCUGCCCUGCACUUCGGGAUAAGCCUGGGAAACUGGGUCUAAUACCGGAUAGGACUCCUGGCUUCAUGGUUGGGGGUGGAAAGCUUUUGCGGUGUGGGAUGGGCCCGCGGCCUAUCAGCGUGUUGGUGGGGUAAUGGCCUACCAGGGCGACGACGGGUAGCCGGGCUGGGAGGGUGACCGGUCACACUGGGACUGAGAUACGGCCCAGACUCCUACGGGAGGGAGCAGUGGGGAAUAUUGCACAAUGGGCGCAAGCCUGAUGCAGCGACGCCGCGUGAGGGAUGACGGCCUUCGGGUUGUAAACCUCUUUCAGCUAUGACGAAGCGCAAGUGACGGUAGUAGCAGAAGAAGGACCGGCCAACUACGUGCCAGCCGCCGCGGUAA
rnacentral:rRNA from 1 species